rnacentral:rRNA from 1 species
UUUAGGAGGGGCUUGCGCCAUAUUAGUUAGUUGGUAAGGUAACGGCUUACCAAGACGAUGAUGUGUAGCUGGACUGAGAGGUUGAACAGCCACAUUGGGACUGAGACACGGCCCAAACUCCUACGGGAGGCAGCAGUAGGGAAUUUUCGGCAAUGGAGGAAACUCUGACCGAGCAACGCCGCGUGAACGACGAAGUACUUCGGUAUGUAAAGUUCUUUUAUCAAAGAAGAAAAGCAAAUGGCGAACCAUUUGUUUGCCGGUAUUUGAUGAAUAAGCCCCGGCUAAUUAUGUGCCAGCAGCCGCGGUAAGACAUAAGGGGCGAGUGUUAUCCGGAAUUAUUGGGCGUAAAGGGUGCGUAGGCGGUAUAGUAAGUCAGGGGUGUAAUGGCAACGCUUAACGUUGUCUGGCUAUUGAAACUACUACACUUGAGUUAGAUAGAGGCGAGUGGAAUUCCAUGUGUAGCGGUAAAAUGCGUAAAUAUAUGGAGGAACACCAGAGGCGUAGGCGGCUCGCUGGGUCUGGACUGACGCUGAGGCACGAAAGCGUGGGGAGCAAACAGGAUUAGAUACCCUGGUAGUCCACGCCGUAAACGAUGAGUACUAAGUGUCGGUCAAACCGGUACUGAAGUUAACACAUUAAGUACUCCGCCUGAGUAGUACGUACGCAAGUAUGAAACUUAAAGGAAUUGACGGGACUCCGCACAAGCGGUGGAUCAUGUUGUUUAAUUCGAAGAUACCCGAAAAACCUUACCAGGUCUUGACAUGUUCUUGCAAAACAGUAGUAAUACUGUGGAGGUUACCAGGAACACAGGUGGUGCAUGGUUGUCGUCAGCUCGUGUCGUGAGAUGUUAGGUUAAGUCCUAAAACGAGCGAAACCCUUAUCGUUAGUUGCCAGCACGUUAUGGUGGGGACUUUAACGAAACUGCCAAUGAUAAAUUGGAGGAAGGUGAGGAUCACGUCAAAUCAGCAUGCCCCUUAUGACCUGGGCUACAAACGUGAUACAAUGGCUGUUACAAAGGGUAGCUGAAACGCGAGUUAUUGGCCAAUCCCCAAAAGC